AUGCCUUACGGCAGUGUUUCUCAACCUUGGGUCCCCAGAUGUUGUUGGAUUACAACUCCCAUCAUCCCUGAGCUCUGGCCUUGCUAGCUAGGGGUGAUGGGAGUUGUAGUUCAACAACAACUGGAGACCCAAGGUUGAGAAAGGCUGCCUUAAGGAAU